rnacentral:rRNA from 1 species
UUAGUGAAUAUAGGACGUCCAACUUAACUUGGAGUCCGAACUCUCACUUUCUAACCCUGUGCACUUGUUUGGGAUAGUAACUCUCGCAAGAGAGCGAACUCCUAUUCACUUAUAAACACAAAGUCUAUGAAUGUAUUAAAUUUUAUAACAAAAUAAAACUUUCAACAACGGAUCUCUUGGCUCUCGCAUCGAUGAAGAACGCAGCGAAAUGCGAUAAGUAAUGUGAAUUGCAGAAUUCAGUGAAUCAUCGAAUCUUUGAACGCACCUUGCGCUCCAUGGUAUUCCGUGGAGCAUGCCUGUUUGAGUGUCAUGAAUACUUCAACCCUCCUCUUUCUUAAUGAUUGAAGAGGUGUUUGGUUUCUGAGCGCUGCUGGCCUUUACGGUCUAGCUCGUUCGUAAUGCAUUAGCAUCCGCAAUCGAACUUCGGAUUGACUUGGCGUAAUAGACUAUUCGCUGAGGAAUUCUAGUCUUCGGACUAGAGCCGGGUUGGGUUAAAGGAAGCUUCUAAUCAGAAUGUCUACAUUUUAAGAUUAGAUCUCAAAUCAGGUAGGACUACCCGCUGAA